GAUGAACGCUGGCGGCGUGCCUAAUACAUGCAAGUCGAGCGAACAGAUGAGGAGCUUGCUCCUCUGACGUUAGCGGCGGACGGGUGAGUAACACGUGGAUAACCUACCUAUAAGACUGGGAUAACUUCGGGAAACCGGAGCUAAUACCGGAUAAUAUAUUGAACCGCAUGGUUCAAUAGUGAAAGACGGUUUUGCUGUCACUUAUAGAUGGAUCCGCGCCGCAUUAGCUAGUUGGUAAGGUAACGGCUUACCAAGGCAACGAUGCGUAGCCGACCUGAGAGGGUGAUCGGCCAAACUGGAACUGAGACACGGGCCAGACUCCUACGGGAGGCAGCAGUAGGGAAUCUUCCGCAAUGGGCGAAAGCCUGACGGGGCAACGGCGCGGGGGUGAUGAAGGUCUUCGGAUCGUAAAACUCUGUUAUUAGGGAAGAACAAAUGGGUAAGUAACUAUGCACGUCUUGACGGUACCUAAUCAGAAAGCCACGGCUAACUACGUG
rnacentral:rRNA from 1 species